GCCCGUGUGGUGUAGUGGUUUGAGCAUUGGACUAUGACUCUCAAGAUGAAGGUUUGAAUCCCUGCUUGGCCA